GAAAUUAAUUGAACUGUCUUGUAAUCCAACUUGGAAAGAAUUGUAUUGAUAAGGCAGGACAGCCAGGGAGGACAAAAAGACAUCAAGGACAGUUGAAUGUCUACUUAGAACCCUUGCAAGAGUGCUGCCUCAAGACAUUAAACACAAACCAUCAGAAACCCACCCAUGAGAAACUUCAACCACUGCAGCAAUGGGGACUACAAAGACAAGGCACCCCUCACAGGUGAAGCGCCAUACCAUAGGCAUCGGUGGGACUGCCAAUGGGCCAGGGAAGAGCUAGGCUGAGGCAUGUGGAAUGGACAAGCACCUUUGUGAUGGCAAACAGGUAGCCACUGAACAUACAAAAAGGCAAGAAUGUACCUAACUCUUCGUGGCAAAGUGGGGCCUUCCCCAGCAGCAACCAGUAGAAAAGCAGCUGUUCCUCUGUGGGGCUGCCACUUUUUCUUUCUUUUUUCUUUUACAGCAGAGCUCCUAUGCCCUUCUAGAGUACAUGGGAUAGCAAGGUAACAGGAACAGGAGUUCUACUCAUCAUGGACACCAUGCUGGGGAAAGCUACAAUCUGUCACUUCUCUUUUUGUCAUUUAGUUUCCAGGCACAGGGACCCUGUUAGAACAGAAGUCUGGCAACCCUUUUCCACUUUGAUGUUUUUAGAACUCAUUCCACUGUUGAUACUGUUCAAUAAAAGUUGUGACUAUUUCAA